rnacentral:rRNA from 1 species
GAGUGAUCGAAAGAUGAAAAGCACUUUGAAAAGAGAGUUAAACAGCACGUGAAAUUGUUGAAAGGGAAGCGUUUGCGACCAGACUCGCCCGCGGGGUUCAGCCGGCAUUCGUGCCGGUGUACUUCCCCGUGGGCGGGCCAGCGUCGGUUUGGGCGGCCGGUCAAAGGCCCUCGGAAUGUAUCACCUCUCGGGGUGUCUUAUAGCCGAGGGUGCAAUGCGGCCUGCCCGGACCGAGGAACGCGCUUCGGCUCGGACGCUGGCGUAAUGGUCGCAAAUGACCC